rfam:Schizopora paradoxa strain KTC8140 unplaced genomic scaffold SCHPAscaffold_00046, whole genome shotgun sequence.
CUCUGGAUAGCUCAGUUGGAAGAGCGCGAGACUGUAAUUUGAAACAAUUGCUCAUUAUCUUGAGGUCACGCGUUCGAUCCGCGUUCCGGAGA